GUAAAAGCUAAUGAGAACUUAAUAUUGAGAGAAGCUCAUAAAAACAUGCUUUUGACAGUACACAAAAGGCUUCCAUGAGCUCCAAAACGGCCCUUUGGAGUGUCUCCAUCAGCUUUGUGCUGCUGCACCAGAAAACCUGAGGCCAAGAAAUAUAUAGAGAAAUAAAGUCUCGGUUCCAAG
rnacentral:lncRNA from 1 species